rnacentral:ncRNA from 1 species
ACCGCGGCUUGGGAGAGCCUCAACGGUUCGCACGAUCCGCGUCACGCCUUGGGAGAGGCACGGCGCGGUUCAACAAGGGGAGAUUGGCCGAUGGAGAAUACGCUUCUCGUCGCGUUGUCGCGGCAGAUGUCGCUU